GAAAGUACAAAGACUUCAUGUGCAAAUAGUGAAGAUACAACAUAUUAACUCCAUUUCUCACUCUAAGGUGUCAACUAACUCAAAGCAUCUAUAAACAAUGAAAAUUGAGAUGGGUGGGCUGAAUCUAACUCGCCAUGAGUCUAUGACAAAACAUUAAUUCAUGGAAACUCAUUUUUUUUCUAACCCGGGUAGUUGUUUACUAGCAUUUGUGCAAUACAAUACGCAAAAAUAAAGUUGC
rnacentral:lncRNA from 1 species